rnacentral:rRNA from 1 species
GACGAACGCUGGCGGCGUGCUUAACACAUGCAAGUCGAACGGAAAGGCCCUGCUUUUGUGGGGUGCUCGAGUGGCGAACGGGUGAGUAACACGUGAGUAACCUGCCCUUGACUUUGGGAUAACUUCAGGAAACUGGGGCUAAUACCGGAUAGGAGCUCCUGCUGCAUGUUGGGGGUUGGUAAGUUUCGGCGGUUGGGGAUGGACUCGCGGCUUAUCAGCUUGUUGGUGGGGUAGUGGCUUACCAAGGCUUUGACGGGUAGCCGGCCUGGGAGGGUGACCGGCCACAUUGGUACUGAGAUACGGACCAGACGCCUACGGGAGGCAGCAGUGGGGAAUAUUGCGCAAUGGGCGGAAGCCUGUUGCAGCAACGCCGCGUGCGGGAUGACGUCCUUCGAGUUGUAAACCGCUUUCGCCUGUGACGAAGCGUUAGUGACGGUAAUGAGUAAAGAAGCACCGGCUAACUACGUG